ensembl:lncRNA
CCCCACAAGUAGCACUGGGCCCCACAGGAUCCGCCCGGCCCCAUAGGUUACACCCGGCCCCAUAAGUGACAUCAGGCCCCAUAAGUCACAACAGGCACCGUAGGUCACUCCACACCCCCUAAGAUCCACCCAGCCCCACAAGUGGCACCAGGCCCCACAGAUCACUGUAGGCCCCACAGAUCACUGCAGGCCCCAUAGAUCUCAGCAGCCCCACGGAUCUCAGCAGCCCCAUAGAUCUCAGCAGGCUCCAUGGAUCACUGCAGGCCCCACAGCUCUCAGCAGCCCCACGGAUCUCAGCAGCCCCACAGAUCACUGCAGGCCCCACAGAUCACAGCAGCCCCAUAGAUCUCAGCAGUCCCAUAGAUCUCAGCAGCCCCACAGAUCACAGCAGGCCCCACAGAUCACGGCAGGCCCCACAGAUCUCAGCAGGCCCCAUAGGUCAUAGCAGGCCCCACGGAUCUCAGCAGCCCCACAGAUCUCAGCAGGCCCCGCAGAUCACAGCAGCCCCAUAGAUCUCAGCAGGCCCCACAGAUCACUGCAGGCCGCACAGACCUCAGCAGGCCCCAUGGCUCACUGCAGCCCCAUAGAUCUCAGUAAGCCCCACAGAUCUCAGCAGACCCAUAGAUCUCAGCAGGCCCCACAGAUCACUGUAGACCCCAUGGAUCACUGCAGGCCCCACAGAUCACAGCAGCCCCAUAGAUCUCAGCAGGCCCCAUAGAUCACUGCAGGCCGCACAGACCUCAGCAGCCCCACAGAUCACUGUAGACCCCAUGGAUCACUGCAGGCCCCACAGAUCACUGCAGGCCCCACAGAUCUCAGCAGCCCCAUGGAUCUCAGCAGCCCCACAGAUCACUGCAGGCCGCACAGACCUCAGCAGCCCCACAGAUCACUGCAGGCCCCACAGAUCACUGUAGACCCCAUGGAUCACUGCAGGCCCCACAGAUCGCAGCAGCCCCAUAGAUCUCAGCAGCCCCAUAGUUCACUGCAGGCCCCACAGAUCUCAGUAGGCCCCAUGGCUCACUGCAGCCCCACAGAUCUCAGCAGACCCACAGAUCUCAGCAGGCCCCAUAGAUUGCUGCAGGCCCCACAGAUCACUGUAGACCCCAUGGAUCACUGCAGGCCCCACAGAUCACAGCAGGCUCCAUGGAUCUCAGCAUCCCCACAGAUCACUGCAGGCCCCACAGAUCACUGUAGACCCCAUGGAUCACGGAGGCCCCACAGAUCACAGCAGCCCCAUAGAUCUCAGCAGCCCCAUGGAUCACAGCAGCCCCAUGGAUCACUGCAGGCCCCAUAGAUCUCAGCAGCCCCACAGAUCUCAGCAGCCCCAUGGAUCACUGCAGGCCCCACAGAUCUCGGCAGGCCGCACAGACCUCAGUAGGCCCCACGGCUCACUGCAGCCCCACGGAUCUCAGCAGCCCCACGGGUCCCGCCCAGCCCCACGGCAGCCGCUCACCCCACGCGCUCCGCCCGG